CUAUCUCAGGAUAGCUCCGCCCUCCCUAUGACUAUCUCAGGAUAGCCCCGCCCUCCCUAUGACUAUCUCAGGGUAGCCCCGCCCUCCCUAUGACUGUCUCAGGAUAGCCCCGCCCUCCCUAUGACUAUCUCAGGGUAGCCCCGCCCCCCCAUGACUAUCUCAGGGUAGCCCCGCCCUCCCUAUGACUGUCUCAGGAUAGCCCUGCCCUCCCUAUGACUAUCUCGGGUAUUCUGUCACAGAGAGCUGAUAAACACUGACCAACCUCCUUUUGGUUCCCAGUCAAAAGUGCUUCCCUCCUGCCUCACUGGGGCUGCAGAGAGGACAUCACUGAGGCAUCCAGCAAAUCUGUGUCUACUGGGGAAAGCGAUGCGUCCAGAAUUAGGUGACCUCAGAUAAACUUCUUGGAUCUGUUUUGUGACCUGUAAAAUAGAUUAGCGACGUUGGCUCUCCCUGCUUCAGAGGGCUAAAUGAGUCGCACCCUUGCAGGAAGUAAAUUGCUGUGCAAA